rnacentral:lncRNA from 1 species
AUUUCGCCCAAAGUACUAUAAAUUCGUAGGUCCACUCCUGAAUGUUAAUAUAAUUUAUGAGUGAUUGAAUUUGUGUUAAUUUGUUUAGUCUUAGCGUUUUCAUGUCCUAAGCUAGUAAUUUUAAAAGGAAAUUAAACCUAAAAAGCAAAAACGUCCGAUCAUAAACAAGAAAGGACAUGAAGUAAAGUGAUUAUAUAUUAUUCUUCCUAUUAUAAUUAAUAAGUGGGAAUGGUGGGUUGAUUUUUUUUUUCUUUUCGUGUUUGGCUUUAUCUCUUUAUUUUGAUCAUCGAAUGGGUUGAUUAUAUUUAGAUGAAGUGAUAAUUUAUUUUAAUUCACGUGGGUGCUCAAAGAUUACAUUGAUGUUGUUGCAGCUGAAAACAAGAAAAAAAACCCAAGAGAAAUUCAUGCGCAAUACCCAUGGAAGUGGGGACACCCAGAGAGCUUGACACGUUGAAUUGUGAUGAAUAAAGAGAUGAAUGGCCAUGAGCAUUAAGCAUGGAAUCACAUCAAUAUACCAUAGUGCAAUGGAGAGACAAGGAUAUGAUAGUCUAAUCUUCUUAACUGGAAAAAAAAAAGAUAUUGACUCCUAUCUCUUUCAAUCAUUUCUGCUUUUUCUUGCUCUUCUCUAGAUUAAUAUUGUAGUAAGUUUUAAGCAAUUAUUUUUUUUUAAUUUUUCCUUUUUUGUUUCACUUUCAUUGUGGUAAUGACAUUUUAUAGUUUGAUAUAAUUAUUAGAAACUUGCAUGAAUUAGUUGUAUGAUGUGCAAUCCAAGAAUUUAUGUCCAAAUUAAGAGGCCAAAUAUAUCCCUUAAACAUCAUUUUGAGACUAGAAAUAAAAGACCACAAAAGAAGUAGGUGAUAUUCAAAUCAAAAUGAGCCGGUUAAGCAAUUGAUCUUAAGUUGGUAAAUAUACUUAAAAUCGAUAUGGUUAAAUCAAAUUGACAUGAUCACAAAACAAUUGAGAUGUCAAAAUUAAGAGGACAAAUACAACUCUUAAAAUUUGAGAGAAUUCAAGCCCUUCAACAUCAUUUUGAGACAAGAAAUAAAAGACCACAAAAUAAGGAGGUGAUAUUCAAAUCAACAAUCCUUGUUUAGUGUAAGCGCCCUCAUUUAUUUUUUAUACGGAUACAUUAUUAAACUAUGUGAUUUAAUAGAGUUAAUUUUUAAUUCACUAAUAAACCAUACGGUUUAAUAAAGUUAUUUUAAUUAACAAGAUCUAGAAUGAUUUAACAGGCACUUGAGAAUGAUUGUUCAAAUCAAAAUAAGUUAGUCAAGUAAGUGAUCAUAGGUUGGGUAAAUAUAUUUUUGGAUUGGAGUGGGAAUCCUGAGGAGUGGAAAUCUUUGGAUUAAGAGUGUGGAGUGGGAGUGAGAGUAGGGUGUUUACUUAGACUAAAUGAAAGUAUAGAUUGUCAAUCAGAAUCCUAAUUAUUUGUUUACUUUGUCUUGGAUUGGGAGUAAAUUGUUUUAAAUUAUAAUUUUAUCCUUAUGUACAGAAUUAUAAUUUGUAAUUAAAAAAUUAAUAAAAAAAU